rnacentral:rRNA from 1 species
UCUUGACCUAGUGGCGGACGGGUGAGUAACUCGUGCUCAAUCUGCCUUUGGAUGGGGGAUAACAGCCGGAAACGACUGCUAAUACCGCAUAAUGCAACAGGAGCGCAUGAUUUUGCUGCCAAGAUUUAUCGUCCCAAGAUGAUCUCGCGUCUGAUUAGUUAGUUGGCGGGGUAACGGCCUACCAAGACAACGAUCAGUAGCCGGACUGAGAGAGUGGACGGCCACAUUGGGACUGAGACACGGCCCAAACUCCUACGGGAGGCAGCAGUGGGGAAUAUUGCACAAUGGGGGGAACCCUGAUGCAGCAACGCCGCGUGAGUGAAGAAGUAUUUCGGUAUGUAAAGCUCUAUCAGCAGGGAAGAAAAUGACAAAAAAAGACUAAGAAGCUCCGGCUAAAUACGUGCCAGCAGCCGCGGUAAUACGUAUGGAGCAAGCGUUAUCCGGAUUUACUGGGUGUAAAGGGAGCGCAGGCGGUACGGCAAGUCCGAUGUGAAAGCCCGGGGCUCAACCCCGGGACUGCAUUGGAAACUGCCGCACUAGAGUGCCGGAGAGGUAAGUGGAAUUCCUAGUGUAGCGGUGAAAUGCGUAGAUAUUAGGAGGAACACCAGUGGCGAAGGCGGCUUACUGGACGGUAACU